AAGUGAGAUAAGCUUUUACAGUAGAUCAGGGAUUCAUGCAAUCCAAAGUCAAUAACAAUGUCUUGAGCAUGUCAUAAAUUAGCUACUCUAAAACUGUGGGAGCCGGUCAGCUUGCAACAGGACAUGAUGAACUGAGAUAUGUUUAGCUGAAGGUGCUGCUAAUACUUGCUUUCAUCCCUUGAAGAUAGUUUUUUUUUUCAUACUAUGAUACUCCAGUGAUAUUUGCUACAUGGCAGCUGUUCGGUAGUUGAAGGCUCAGUUGAACAUUCCUUCUGUACAUAGAUGCAAAUAAUACAUGAUUUAAUCAGAACAGGCAUAAUUCAUGAGUCAUUAAUUGGAAACUCAUCUCCCUACAUAAUUAAGGUCAGGAGAGAGUGAAAUAUGGCAAAGUUAACAGAAUCUGAUAUAUUAAAUUCAUGAGCUUUUCCUUGUAUAUUGCUCCAGAAACGUUGAUUGAAGAUUCUUAUCUAAAGUAGCCAACUUAGUAUGUUUCUCAAUUGAAACUUAGUAAAGCAUAUCAUUUUACUAUUUGUUGUACUUUUUUCAGUUGAGAGAAAUUGAAAACCAUAUACGAUUUUCUGUUUCUCAAUUGAAACUUGGCAAAGCAUGUCAUUUUGCUGUUUGUUGUACU
rnacentral:lncRNA from 1 species